rnacentral:lncRNA from 1 species
GUCUGCAACCUACACCACAGCUCACCACAACGCUGGAUCCUUAACCCACUGAGCAAGGCCAGGGAUCAAACCUGCAACCUCAUGGUUCCUAGUUGGAUUCGUUAACCACUGCGCCACGACGGGAAUUCUGAUAUUUAGUUUCUUAAGGAGCCUCCAUACUGUCCUCAAUAGUGGUUGCACCAGCUUACAUUCCCACCAAUGGUAUAGGAGGGGUGCUUUUUGUCUCCAUACCCUCUCCAGCAUUUUUGCUUUCUGGUAAUCUGUCUGUCUUCUUUGGAGAAAUGUCUGUCUAUUUAGAUCUUUCUCUUCUUUCUUUUUUUUUUUUUUUUGGCUUUUUAGGGCCACACCCGCGGUGUGUGGAAGUUCCCAGGCUAGGGGUUGAAUUGGAGCUACAGCUGCUGGCAAACAUCACAGCCACAGCAACGCAGGAUCCGAGGUGUAUCUAACCUACACAAUAGCCCUUGGCAAUGCCGGAUCCUCCACCCACUGGUUGAGGCCAGAGAUCGAACCCGCAUCCUCAUGGAUACUAGUCGGAUUUGUUUCCACCGUGCCACGAAUGGGAACUCCUGUUUAGAGCUUCUAUUUUUCAGUUGGGUUGUUUGGUUUUUGUUUGUGUUUUUGUUUUUGGUAUAAAGUUUAUGAGAUGGUUGUAUAUUGUGGAGAUUAAUCUCACUUUGUUUGCAAGAUUUUCUCCCAUUCUAUGGGUUGUCUUUUCAUUUUGUUUAUGGUUUCCUAUUCUGUGCAAAGGCUUCUACACUGAAUUAGGUCCGGUUAGUUUAUUUUUGUUUUUCUUUUCUUUCUUUUUUCUUCUUUUUUUGGCCAUACCCACAGCCUGAGGAAGUUCCCAGGCCAGGGAUUGAAGCUGUACCACAGCAGCAACCUGAGCCACUGCAGUGACAAUGCCAGACCCUUAACCUGCUGUAUUAUGAGAGAAUUCUGGUUUUUGUCUUUAUUUUUAUACCGUGGGUAUAGCCCCUCUUCCCCCCCCAAAAAAGACCAGUGCUUUCAAUUUCUGGUUACUUCUUAGUGAUCAAAGUUCACAGCUGAAUUCAGAAUGCCAGGGAUGUUGGAGAAGUCUGACAGAAAUGAACAAUGCAGAUGUUAACAGCAUUUCUUUUGGGGGAAAAAAGGGCAACAUUUUAGUAUGAGUAAUAAUAGCAAUAUUUAACCAUAAAAUAAUUUAAAAUUCAUUUCUUCCAGGUUAGUGAGAACAAUUUCUUUCUGUCUGAAGAAGCAGGAUGAAAUCUUCCCCAGGGGACUGAACCCAGUCCUCCCCGUCCCUGAGGAGUAUAUGUAAUUUGAAAGCACUGAAGUGCACCAUCCAUCAUUGCCUAACAAAUUAUUCCAAAAAUAUAGCAGCUGAAAACAGCAAAUAUUUAUUAUCUGAUACAGUUUCCUGGGGUCGGGAAUCUGGGGGUGACUUAGCUGAGUGGUUCUGCCCCAGAGUUUCUUUGGAGGCUGAGUCAAACUCAAGGCUGCAGGCUAUGAAGAUUUGACUGCACAGCAGGGUCUGUUCCCAAACUUGGUCACAUAACCAGGCAGGAGGCCCUCAUUCCUUGCCACAUGGCCUUUCCAUAGUGCCACUCAUGACAUGUCCUUGUUUAGCAUGAGAGAAGCAAGAGAGAAAAUGGGGGGGGGAAGAAGAGACACAGUCUUUUUAUAACCUAAUAUUGAAAGUGAUAUCCCAUCCCUUUUCCCAUAUACUCGAUAUGCUGGAAGAGAGUCACUUAGUUCAGUCCACAUUUAGAGGGAAGAAAACUCUACCUCCUGAUGGGAGGAAUAUCAAAGAAUUUGUGGGCCGAUCUUUAAAUUUAUCACAAUAGGCAGCUUUGGCUCUGAGACAGUAGUAAAGAUUGAAGUAUUAUCCUGGGGAGAAAGUUUUUUAUUUAAGGUUUCUGAUUUCUUUUUUAUUUGCUUUUUAGGGCCGCUCCCACGGUAUAUGGAGGUUCCCAGCCAGGGGUCGAAUCGGAGCUACAGCUUCCGGCCUAGGCCAAGGCCACAGCAACUCAGGAUCUGAGCUGCGCCUGUGACCUACACCACAGCUCACGGCAAUGCUAGAUCCUUAACCCACUGAGUGAGGCCAGGGAUCAAACCUGCCUCCCCACGGAUAUUAGGUUCAUUGACCACUGAGCCACAAUGGGAACUCCAAAGUUUCUCAUUUCUUGCCUUUAAUUCCUCUUUAAAAUUAUUUCCUCUUGUCUGUCAGAGAGUGGAAGUAAGGAUUUGCAGUUCAGUGUCUGCACUGAAUUGGGAGUGAGGGAUCAUUUGGUUACUUCUUUUCCCUUCUACAUCCCAAAGAGCAGGAAGGUCCUCUGGGAGCCAUAGAGGGUACCUGGAGCAGACAAGAAGAUGGAGGUAAUAUUUCCAGGGACUAAAAAAGCCCCAAAGAGUAUGUGCAUAUAAAGUAAAUUCCCAGACUGGACUCCUGUAGACCUUCCAAAACCAGUUGCAACCUCUGCGUUCAUAGUGGCUCCACUACAAGCCCAAACCUGCAUGCUCCUCUGUGAGCUAUCACCUUCCCAUCAAAGAUGCCCUUGAGAGUGAUUGUGAUCCACAUUUCACCUGGAUUGAAAUGUUUGGAGAAGACAUAUAUACAAGGUGAUGGAUUCUGCCCCCCUCCCCUUAGCCUAAGCUAAAUUUCUCUCUUCCUAAAAAGUGACAUUAUGGAUUAGCCCUUCUUCUGACACUUCGGAAAGAAAGGCAAAUCCUCAACAGGAUAAUACAACUGAAAUCACCCUCUUCUAGACUUCCAUGUUCUUAACGUGGCAUUCUCAGGAGAGACCCUAAGAGGGUCCCAUUCAUAUUUCUGCCUGAAUAAUCAAGAUCUGGGAGCCAGGGACACCCCCCCGGGGGGGGGAAUAUGUAACUUAAUAUAAAUCACUCUGGGAGCUUGAAACUAUUGCUAUGAACCUGUCCUUUGUCUAAACAACUAUUGAGAAACCCAGAAACACUUCUGGGAAUUACUAAUGUGGGUUGUGCAGUUUUCAGCAGAGAUACCAACUAUGAAUUCCAGAGGUGGUGAGAGAGUGUAGAAAGAAUGGACGGUUUGGAGUUCCCAUCAUGUCUCAGCGGUUAAUGAAACCAACUAGUAUCCAUGAGGAUGAGGGUUCAAUCCCUGGCCUUGCUCAGUGGGUUAGGGAUCCAACAUUGCUGUGGCUAUGGUGUAGGCCAGCAGCUACAGCUCUGAUUCCACCCCUAGCCUGGGGACCUCCAUGUGCCACGAGUGCGGCCCUAAAAAGACAAAAAAGGAGUUCCUAUCAUGGUUCAGUGGUUAACGAAUCCGACUAGGAGCCAGCCAUGAGGUUGCGGGCUCAAUCCCUGGCCUCACUCAGUGGGUUAAGGAUCCGGCGUUGCCCUGAGCUGUGGUGUAGGUCGCAGACACAGUUCAGAUCCUGUGUGGCUGUGGCUCUGGCAGAGGCCAGCAGCUACAGCUCUGAUUAGAACCCUAGCCUGAGAAGCUCCAUAUGC